GACGGUCUUGCUGUCACUUAUAGAUGGAUCCGCGCUGCAUUAGCUAGUUGGUAAGGUAACGGCUUACCAAGGCAACGAUGCAUAGCCGACCUGAGAGGGUGAUCGGCCACACUGGAACUGAGACACGGUCCAGACUCCUACGGGAGGCAGCAGUAGGGAAUCUUCCGCAAUGGGCGAAAGCCUGACGGAGCAACGCCGCGUGAGUGAUGAAGGUCUUCGGAUCGUAAAACUCUGUUAUUAGGGAAGAACAUAUGUGUAAGUAACUGUGCACAUCUUGACGGUACCUAAUCAGAAAGCCACGGCUAACUACGUGCCAGCAGCCGCGGUAAUACGUAGGUGGCAAGCGUUAUCCGGAAUUAUUGGGCGUAAAGCGCGCGUAGGCGGUUUUUUAAGUCUGAUGUGAAAGCCCACGGCUCAACCGUGGAGGGUCAUUGGAAACUGGAAAACUUGAGUGCAGAAGAGGAAAGUGGAAUUCCAUGUGUAGCGGUGAAAUGCGCAGAGAUAUGGAGGAACACCAGUGGCGAAGGCGACUUUCUGGUCUGUAACUGACGCUGAUGUGCGAAAGCGUGGGGAUCAAACAGGAUUAGAUACCCUGGUA
rnacentral:rRNA from 1 species